AAAGUAUGUAAAAAACGAUGCGAGAGAUUUUUACUACUCUAGACCGGCGAGUGGCUGAAGUACACAUAUCAACUCAUUCAAGGGUGAAGGGUCUUUGCUUGCUUGAGUCCGCUACUAAGCUCUCGGCAGCUUCCAUGCCAUCUAGGUGUAAAAGAAAUCAACACAUGAGUUAGUUAAAACAUCAAGAGAGUGUGUUACUACCAUCCGAAUCUAAAAUUUCCUCGCCGGAAUUGCUUCCAUCUUCAUUAUGAUUCUAGGACUCGGGAGUACUUUCCCUCAUUCAUCUUGUUGUUCAGUUAAGACUUUGAGAUGCGGAUUGAGAUGCAAUUUAAAGACAUUAAUUUGCAGGAAACUAUUUGCAACACCUUCUCAAAGUCGCUUUGAGGACAGCCAAUCAUUUAACACAGUACUCCUCAGUUUGAUAGGUUGUGAACAUAAAGAUAAACAGAUGUCACCGCUUGUAACAGGAACAUUUUUUACCAGCAGAUAACUGCACAAAUACAUCCACAUGACUUGAGCAAGUUGCAUCAUCUAAAAGAUCUU
rnacentral:lncRNA from 1 species